rnacentral:ncRNA from 1 species
UGAUAGAGGCGCAGCGCGCAAUCAGUAGCUUUUUCGGAGAAGGCGGUCGUCUGCCGGCGAAAAAGGGAAAGGUGCCGUUGCCGAAAGCAUGCAGGGACGGAACUGCAUUGCUUGGUUUGGCAGAUAAUAUCUGUCCGACUGUCGUUUUUGCGGAGAGCUAUCGG